rnacentral:rRNA from 1 species
UCGUGCUCAUCGGUGGCCAGCAAGGGCCGCUUCGUCGUGUACACUGCUGACGGUGCGAGGUUCGAAGUGCCGCUUGGGUUCCUUGGCACGACGGUCUUCGGCGAGCUCUUGAGGAUGUCCCAGGAGGAGUUUGGAUUUGCAGGCGUUGACAGUGGCAGAAUCAUGCUGCUGCCCUGUGACGCACCGGUGAUGGAGUACGCCAUGUGCUUGCUCAGGAGAAGCACCUCCGCGGAGAUGGAGGCCGCCUUCCUCCAUUCCAUGAUGAUGCCAUGCCACUAUCAUGCGGCAGCAAAUCUGGGAGUUAGGCAGUAUUUUGGUGUCUGCACCUCCUAA